GCUGCAACUCGCCUGCAUGAAGUCGGAAUUGCUAGUAAUCGUAGGUCAGCAUACUACGGUGAAUACGUUCCCGGGCCUUGUACACACCGCCCGUCACACCAUGGGAGUCGGAAAUGCCCGAAGUCUGUGACCUAACCGUAAGGAAGGAGCAGCCGAAGGCAGGUCGGAUGACUGGGGUGAAGUCGUAACAAGGUAUC
rnacentral:rRNA from 1 species